rnacentral:rRNA from 1 species
GACGAACGCUGGCGGCGUGCUUAACACAUGCAAGUCGAACGGAAAGGCCCCUUUGGGGGUACUCGAGUGGCGAACGGGUGAGUAACACGUGAGUAACCUGCCCUUGACUUCGGGAUAACUUCAGGAAACUGGGGCUAAUACCGGUUAGGAAUCCUUGCUGCAUCGGGGGGGUUGGAAAGCUUGGGCGGUCUUGGACGGGCUCGCGGCCUAUCAGCUUGUUGGCGGGGUAGUGGCUUACCAAGGCUUUGACGGGUAGCCGGCCUGAGGGGGCGACCGGCCACAUUGGGCCUGAGAUGCGGCCGAGACUCCUACGGGAGGCAGCAGUGGGGAAUAUUGCACAAUGGGCGGCGGCCUGAUGCAGCAGCGCCGCGUGCGGGAUGACGGCCUUCGGGUUGUAAACCGCUUUCAGCAGGGGCGAAGCUUGUGGUGACGGUACCUGCAGAAGAAGCACCGGCUAACUACGUG